CUUAAAAUGGCUUGGCGCUGGUCAGACAAGAUUGCAAAAAUUCACUCUGAACCUCAGAGUGUUGUUCUUGUACAACAUUCUUGCAUUGACCUCCGUGGCCUGAUGAAAGCUGCUCACCUUCUCGGAGGUUAACCCCUUGAUCUGCAUGAAGAGGAAGCACUGCAUUGUUUUUUAUGGGUAAGGAUUUCAGACACCUCAGGAGUGGAUUUCCUCUGCUCUGAUAUUUGAAUAGUAACUGAAGACUGGAAGUCAGUGGGCUGGAAUCACCGGACUGCUUUGAAGAAGCUAGAGAAGCAUACUUUACAUCAAGAAGUAGUAGAUCUCCUACACUCUAUUUCUCAAGUGGAAGGUUUAGAGAGAAAGGAUGAGGAAUGGAUGAAGUGGGGAGAUAAAGCAACGGGGCAGUCAAGGAGACGACAAUGAACAUAAUAGCCAGCGAGGAGGAGGAAUGGAGCACCAAGUGUCACAGGGAGAAUGCGUGCCGCGGAAAGGUCAGCACCAAAUGCAGCUCCAGUGUUUUAUACACUAUCAUUUGGGAGGUGCCUCCAGCCACAGGCUUGAAGCUGGUCUUGCUUGGAGAAGAUCCUUAUGAACUCGAUGUAAGUCAGGGGGCAUUUGUUUCACGUGACAUCCUCACUUACACUGAAUCCCUUGAAGUCAAAGGUAAUAGUACAUGGGGGAAUACUACCACGCUACAACAAAGUCCAUUUGCUGCACAGGUUAUAUCUGUCACUUUCCAGCUCUCAUUUGUAAUUACUUAAAACUGAAACAGUUUAAAGAAUUGAACCAUAAGGGUAAAGGACAUUGUUCUGGGGACAUAAAACUAAACUCACCUUAUUACGUAUUGUUACACUGCUGUCUGCUUUCAUUACCAAAGGCCAUAAAGCAAUUUUAACC